UACAGAGGGUGCAAGCGUUAAUCGGAAUUACUGGGCAUAAAGCGUGCGUAGACGGUUACAUAAGUCGGGUGUGAAAGCCCCGGGCUCAACCUGGGAAUUGCAUUCGAGACUGCGUAGCUAGGGUGCGGAAGAGGGAAGCGGAAUUUCCGGUGUAGCGGUGAAAUGCGUAGAUAUCGGAAGGAACACCAGUGGCGAAAGCGGCUUCCUGGUCCAGAACCGACGUUCAGGCACGAAAGCGUGGGGAGCAAACAGG
rnacentral:rRNA from 1 species